rnacentral:rRNA from 1 species
CGGGUUGCAGCAGUGGGGAAUAUUGGACAAUGGGCGCAAGCCUGAUCCAGCAAUUCCGCGUGGGUGAAGAAGGUCUUCGGAUUGUAAAGCCCUUUCGACGGGGACGAUGAUGACGGUACCCGUAGAAGAAGCCCCGGCUAACUUCGUGCCAGCAGCCGCGGUAAUACGAAGGGGGCUAGCGUUGCUCGGAAUUACUGGGCGUAAAGGGCGCGUAGGCGGCUUAGUUAGUCAGGCGUGAAAUUCCUGGGCUCAACCUGGGGACUGCGCUUGAUACGGCUAGGCUAGAGGAUGGAAGAGGGUCGCGGAAUUCCCAGUGUAGAGGUGAAAUUCGUAGAUAUUGGGAAGAACACCGGUGGCGAAGGCGGCGACCUGGUCCAUUACUGACGCUGAGGCGCGACAGCGUGGGGAGCAAACAGGAUUAGAUACCCGCGU